ACAGAAGUGUCGGGAGAGCUUGUGAUACUCCCCCCUGAGUUUCGACGACUUCUGGCCGAAGCGACAGAAGUGCCGGGAGAGCUUGUGAUACUCCCCCCGAAGGUUGUGCUUUGUUGAUGCACAACUUUUGUGAAGAGUGUUUUUCGAUUUAUGUGAUUGUCGGUAAACGACCAAUCACAAAAACUCGACACUCCAAGGUUGCCUUGAAACUUGGAACCUUAAGGAGAGAGUUUGUGAUACUCCCUCUCAUAGUGUGAUGACCUCUGGCCGGAGCGACAGAAGCGUUGGGAGAGUUUUUGAUACUCUUCCCCUGAAAUUUGACGACUUCUGGCCAAAGCGACAUAAGUGUCGGGAGAGCUUGUGAUACUCCCCCCUUGAAUUUUGACGACUUCUGGCCGAAGCGACAGAAGUGUCGGGAGAGUUUGUGAUACUCCCCCUGGAAUUGGACGACUUCUGGCCGGAGCGACAGAAGUGCCGGGAGAGUUUGUGAUACUCCCCCUGGAAACUUGCACUUGGGGCAGUUUCUAGUGUUAUUGUACUCGGAAUCGGCGACUGGAGUGUGUAAUACUCUUGGCAGUCGGCGAUAUCCGUAGCAAGGGACGUUUUUGUUUUCUACCCUUGUGAGUCGGCGACUCCCUCUGUGAGUCGGCGACUCCUAACGUAACCGUCGGAUCUUUUCGGGAGAUCCUUGGAAUAUUUGGGAGAUAUACGGGGAAUAUUUGUAAAAUCUCCAAAUAAGGAAUGUAUCUCACAUUGCCGUGAGUUUUUGCCCAGAGUCGGCGACUGCCAUGUGGAGUCGGCGACUAGGCGUGAUUAGGGGGAUUUGGAGAUCGAAUCUCGAUCUCAAACUUCGUAAUUUUUGGAUUCUCUGUGGGAUUUUUGCAAUUUUCCCAAGGCCUAUAAAUAGUGAAGAGGUUUUCCCCAAACCCUCACAACACUUUUUUGCCCUUCU
rnacentral:lncRNA from 1 species